rnacentral:rRNA from 1 species
AUUGAACGCUGGCGGCAGGCCCAACACAUGCAAGUCGAACGAAGUCUUCGGACUUAGUGGCGGACGGGUGAGUAACACGUGGGAACGUACCUUUUGGUUCGGAACAACUCAGGGAAACUUGAGCUAAUACCGGAUGAGCCCUUAGGGGGAAAGAUUUAUCGCCGAAAGAGCGGCCCGCGUUAGAUUAGCUAGUUGGUGAGGUAAAGGCUCACCAAGGCUACGAUCUAUAGCUGGUCUGAGAGGAUGAUCAGCCACACUGGGACUGAGACACGGCCCAGACUCCUACGGGAGGCAGCAGUGGGGAAUCUUGCGCAAUGGGCGAAAGCCUGACGCAGCCAUGCCGCGUGAAUGAUGAAGGUCUUAGGAUUGUAAAAUUCUUUUACCAGGGACGAUAAUGACGGUACCUGGAGAAAAAGCCCCGGCUAACUUCGUGCCAGCCGCCGCAGUAACAC